UACGUAGGUGGCAAGCGUUGUCCGGAUUUACUGGGCGUAAAGAGCGCGCAGGCGGUCGAAUAAGUCGAAUGUGAAAGCCCCCGGCUCAACUGGGGAGGGUCAUUCGAUACUGCUCGACUUGAAGGCAGGAGAGGGUAGUGGAAUUCCCGGUGUAGUGGUGAAAUGCGUAGAUAUCGAGAGGAACACCAGUGGCGAAGGCGAGUCCCUGGACAACUCCUGACACUGAGGCACGAAAGCUAGGGGAGCAAACAGG
rnacentral:rRNA from 1 species